CUCUUAAUACCCAAGGUGUUGUCACGAGUGUGAGCGGUGCUAAAGUGCUUAUAGUGCAGGUAGUGUUGUCCGUAUCUACUGCAGCGUGAGCACUUCAAGUCCUUCUCACU
rnacentral:pre_miRNA from 10 species